ACGAAGGGGGCUAGCGUUGUUCGGAAUUACUGGGCGUAAAGCGCGCGCAGGCGGUUCUCCAAGUCAGUGGUGAAAGCCCGGAGCUCAACUCCGGAAUUGCCAUUGAAACUGUUGAACUUGAGGACGAGAGAGGUGAGUGGAAUUCCCAGUGUAGAGGUGAAAUUCGUAGAUAUUGGGAAGAACACCGGUGGCGAAGGCGGGUCUCUGGGCAGUAACUGACGCUGAGGAGCGAAAGCGUGGGGAGCGAACAGGA
rnacentral:rRNA from 1 species